rnacentral:rRNA from 1 species
GGUCAAGCGAAUAAGCGCACAUGGUGGAUGCCUUGGCGGUCAGAGGCGAUGAAGGACGUGGUAGCCUGCGAAAAGUGUCGGGGAGCUGGCAACAAGCUUUGAUCCGGCAAUAUCCGAAUGGGGGAACCCACUGUUUAGGCAGUAUCUUUGAGUAAAUUCAUAGCUCAAGGAGGCGAACCUGGUGAACUGAAAUAUCUAAGUAACCAGAGGAAAAGAAAUCAACAGAGAUUCCCUGAGUAGUGACGAGCGAACGGGGAUUAGCCCUUAAGCUAGUAUGGUUUUAGGAAAGCAAUCUGGGAAGGUUGGCCAUAGAAGGUGAUAGCCCUGUAUCCGAAAGGGCCGUACUAGUGAAGAUGAGUAGGACGGGGCACGUGAAACCUUGUCUGAAUAUGGGGGGUCCAUCCUCCAAGGCUAAAUACUCCUGACCGACCGAUA